GCAAUCAGAGAGCUGGACUUCCAUCCCCAAACCAUGUACUGUUUCUGUGGCCUGUGGGUCACUAUUUUCUUCUAUAUCCCAUGGUUCCUGUCCUGAAAAACAAGGGUUCUUCAUAACUGAGAACUAUCAUCAAUGCAUUCCCUGAUUUUGCUCUGCCUUUGAUUUGUCAUUUUCUUCCUCAUUAUGACACUUCCCUUGGAUAGUGAAUUCUCAGAGCAAGCUGUACAGUAUGAUGAUUUGUGAAACUGCAUAUUUGGACAAACUGGAUCAUCAACACAGAAAUUUCCAUAGACCAAUAUGAAGUGUUCUUCUGAGCCUGGAAGGAAGAGAGGCUCUCACUGAAGCCUUACCUCACCUUGUUCCAGGAUUCCUACUUUUGAUGAAAGGCCUACCAAAGAAACAUUGUUUUCAGCCCUUUGCUUCAUUGUGGACUAUGAAGAGGUUUUUCAAAUUCCAUAAUUACAAUCCUCCAAAGAAGCCAGAAAUGAAACAGAAAAUGAAGGGACAUCCACAAAGAAAAUGAGAUAGCAGAGACAAAGGACAGGAGAAAGAAGGCCAGUGGCAACCUCUCUGCAGAAGGAGGCUGCACACACAUAUGAGUCAGAACCAAGUUUCAUUUCAGAACUUGCAUUCCAGUGUAUUGGAAUUGGAAGUAGUGGAGAAAACAAAGGCAUUAAUUCUAGAGGUUAAAAAAAAUGUUUAAUUAGUACUUCAUUUCACAAGAAGCACUUGAAAAGAAGAACUAGGCUUGAUAUCUCAAACUAAACAUGCCCAGCACUUCCAGCGUUAUAAUGCUUUGAAGAAGGUAAAUAUUAGGCAUUCAGAUUUACUCAAAAAAUGUUGGGCAAUGAGGGUGUAGCUAAUUAAGUAGAGCAUGUGUCUGGUGACGAAAAGGCCCUGGGGAGGGCUCCCACCAAAUACAGAAAAGCAGGUUAAUUUCAAAUAAGGUCAAAAUUCCAUACCAUGUAAUGGUAUGUGGAUAAAUGAUCCUCAUCCUUAAAAACAAGCCCAGGAUACCCGAAAAGCAAACCUGUCAAGAAGCCAUUUCAAUGCCCAUCACCUAAGUUUUAUUGCUGAGACAUGUAAAAUGUUUUUACAAGGGCACAGAGAGAUGCUGGGAAGCUCUUCAGGUGGAUAUAAAGAAAAUAACACCAAAUAAUAUUACACACGAGGCUGUUUGCCAUGCAAUUUGUACACCAAGGAAAAGAAUACAACACAUAGCACACCUGCAGAACUGAUUGGCCACAUAACUGUAUCCUGACUGACAUGCAGUAUGAACGCUGGGGAUGUCGAAAGUCAAGAAGACAUGCUUGGUUGUAUUGUCACUCUCAUAUUCUAUGUGACAGCUCAUAGUUUUCCUAGAGGAUCCAUGAACUCUGCUUCUAUACUAAAGUUCUAGAAGUACUGUCAGCCAUGGGAACUCAUCUCUACCACCUCUUAGAGGUUUCUUAUCUAGUGGUAAAUCAGGCCCUCUAUCUAGUCACCCAGGUCUCAGAAGACACUGACUACAUAAAUAGUAGCAUUGAUCAUUCAGAUACAAUACUGCCAAACUUGAUCAUGACUUACACACUCUCAACUUUUUCUUAACUCUGUAAAUGGUAAUGUUCUUUUAAAACAUUCUCUUUUUCUCUUUUUUAAUCAGCAGAGAAUUUAGUCGACUCUAGCCAAAAAAAUAAUAAUAAUUUCUUUUAAAUUUUGCAUUUAUUCAUUAACAAUUUCAUCCAUACAAUGUAUCUUAAAUAUAUCCACCCUCAACUCACCCACAUCUCCCUCUGCCCCAAACAAAGACUUCAUAAGACAGAAAAUUACCAAAAUUUUGUAACAACACAUUAAUAAGGUCAAAAUGAUGUAUUUAAAGUAUCAGCCCUUGAAAGUGAUGCCUGCAAGAGCCAAAAACACCUAACAAAAGCCCCAACACCAGACAGAGUUGUUAAACACAAAUGACUAAGAGACUGCCCAAGAUGUAGUCUAUUUCUGUUGCCCUUGGUUAUUUGCAAGAGAUAGAAAGUAAGUCCAUACUGCUAAAGAUAUGAUGUAUUUCAAAAACAGGGCCCAGAGACUCCUAAGCUAGAACUGAUCUGAAUGCCCUCCUCCCUGAGGACUAGUUUUUAUGGUACCAGAAGACACCAUGCAAGCUUCCAAAAGAGGGAAAAGACUAACAGUCCUACCCAGCAAUAUUGUCUAUGGACCACAUCAAUGACCAGCAUGGCAUGAUAACCCUAUGGGUGCAAAAGGGGCACACAUAUGUAGGCACUAAUCAAUUCCUCUCUAAUUGGAGUUAAGACCUAUUCAACAAGAAGAAGAUGCCUGGUACUAGAGACCUAGAUAACCACUCUCUGCUAGUGAAAUCAUUGUUUUGGAAGAGAAUUUAUAACCACUGGUUUAUGAAAGCAGAAUAAUUCCUAACAAUAAGCUACAAACAUUUGUCUUUAUAACCACAGAUUCAUGAAGUCUGGCCCCUUGUCGAGGAAACUUUCUCUUUGCAGCAGUUGGAGACCACUGCAGGAAACCACAAACUAUUUAAGUGCAAAGUUGUAAAACCCAGUCCCAGUGGGUGCAUCUACAAAACACUUCCAUACCAAAGACUCCAGAAACAUUGUGUAAGGGGGUGCAGAAAGAUGACAAGAAACAGAGAAUCAGAAAGUUUGCUAUGAUAUCAUGUCUCCUAGUCAAACUAGAAGCUAGACCGAUAAAUUCUCACCAACAUGACCAGCCAAACCUGAGCUGAACAAGGAUGAUAACAACAAACAUGCCAAACGUCACAGAGAAAAGCCCACAGACUUCAGUCCUACAGGAAAAACUAAAUGGCAGCUGAGUAAACCUAGGAGUGGAAGAGGUAGUCCUCUCUAAGCAAGAACACACAAAUUGAUUGCCCAGUGCCAAAAAGCCAUUCCUGAAUAAACACAC
rnacentral:lncRNA from 1 species